AGGGAUGUAGCCCCGCCGCUGGCGGGGCGCUUCGUUCGGGACGAAGAGGCCGCUGGUUCGAAUCCAGUCAUCCCGACAA
rnacentral:tRNA from 1 species